UACGUAGGUGACCAGCGUUGUCCGGAUUUACUGGGCGUAAAGAGCGCGCAGGCGGUCGUUCAAGUCGAGUGUGAAAGCCCCCGGCUCAACUGGGGAGGGUCACGCGAUACUGUUCGACUCGAAGGCAGGAGAGGGUAGUGGAAUUCCCGGUGUAGUGGUGAAAUGCGUAGAUAUCGGGAGGAACACCAGUGGCGAAGGCGACUACCUGGCCUGUUCUUGACGCUGAGGCGCGAAAGCUAGGGUAGCAAACGGG
rnacentral:rRNA from 1 species